rnacentral:tRNA from 1 species
UCCUCAUUGGUCUAGUGGUCAUGAUUUCCGCUUGUCAUGCUCAGCAUCACCAGCGCGGGAGACCAGGGUUCGAUUCCCUGAUGGGGAG